GACGAAGGGGGCUAGCGUUGUUCGGAAUUACUGGGCGUAAAGCGCGUGUAGGCGGUUGUCCAAGUUGGAUGUGAAAGCCUUGAGCUUAACUCAAGAAAUGCAUUCAGGACUGGAUGACUAGAGGACCGGAGAGGAUAGUGGAAUUCCCAGUGUAGUGGUGAAAUACGUAGAGAUUGGGAAGAACACCAGUGGCGAAUGCGGCUAUCUGGACGGUUUCUGACGCUAAGACGCGAAAGCGUGGGGAGCGAACAGG
rnacentral:rRNA from 1 species